GAUGAGAACGCAGUGAAAUGCGAUACUUGGUGUGAAUUGCAGAAUCCCGUGAACCAUCGAGUCUUUGAACGCAAGUUGCGCCCGAAGCCACUAGGCCGAGGGCACGCCUGCCUGGGCGUCACACGCCGUUGCCCCCCCAUCUACUCCUUCGGGAUUGCGGGGGGGCGGAUGAUGGCCUCCCGUGCGCCUAGCCGCGCGGUUGGCAUAAAUACCAAGUCCUCGGCGACGCACGCCACGACAAUCGGUGGUUGCGAAACCUCGGUUGCCCGUCGUGUGCGUUCGUCGCGCAUCGAGGGCUCGAAAAAAUGCUCGGCUCCGGCUGGGCUUUCAACGCGACCCCAGGUCAGGCGGGGUUACCCGCUGAAUUUAAGCAUAUCAAUAAGCGGAGGA
rnacentral:misc_RNA from 1 species